UUUAAUAAAAAUAAUUUAAAAAGGAGCCCAGCACCGAAUCCCCACCCCUCGGUGGGGUGCGGGAAAUGUGGCAUACGGAAGACCCACUCCCCUGCCCCGCUCGUGGGGGCCCAAGUCCUUCUGAUCGAGGCCCAGCCCGCGGACGGUGUGAGGCCGGUAGCGGCCCCUGGCGCGCCAUGCCCGGGUCUUCCCGGAGCCGGGUUGCUUGGGAAUGCAGCCCAUAGCAGGUGGUAAACUCCAUCUAAGGCUAAAUACCGGCACGAGACCGAUAGUCAACAAGUGCCAUAAGGGAAAGUUGAAAAGAACAUUGAAGAGAGAGUUCAAGAGGAUUCCUGGAUUCCUGUGUCCUCCCAAGCCUAAACCAGG
rnacentral:ncRNA from 1 species